rnacentral:rRNA from 1 species
GAUGAACGCUGGCGGCGUGCCUAAUACAUGCAAGUCGAGCGAACAGACGAGGAGCUUGCUCCUCUGACGUUAGCGGCGGACGGGUGAGUAACACGUGGAUAUCCUACCUAUAAGACUGGGAUAACUUCGGGAAACCGGAGCUAAUACCGGAUAAUAUAUUGAACCGCAUGGUUCAAUAGUGAAAGACGGUUUUGCUGUCACUUAUAGAUGGAUCCGCGCCGCAUUAGCUAGUUGGUAAGGUAACGGCUUACCAAGGCAACGAUGCGUAGCCGACCUGAGAGGGUGAUCGGCCACACUGGAACUGAGACACGGUCCAGACUCCUACGGGAGGCAGCAGUAGGGAAUCUUCCGCAAUGGGCGAAAGCCUGACGGAGCAACGCCGCGUGAGUGAUGAAGGUCUUCGGAUCGUAAAACUCUGUUAUUAGAGAAGAACAAAUGUGUAAGUAACUAUGCACGUCUUGACGGUACCUAAUCAGAAAGCCACGGCUAACUACGUG